CCUUUCAUUUACAUUUACCUCACCCAAAUUGUAAACAUCCACAGAAAAAAAAGAACCAUAAUCGAAUUCGAAACCCUAAAUUCCUUAAAUCGAAACCCUGAGCUCAAAAUCAAAGUUCGUUCCAGUCGUUGCUCACUACUCAAACAGCCUACCCAAGCGUAGAGAAAUAGCUCCCAUUCCAUUGUUGUAAUUUUUGCAAUGGACGGACAACAUGAAGAUUGUGAGGAAGAUCCGGACUUCGUUGACUCCGAUAAUGACUUUGGGUCCAAAGAAGACGACAUUAAAUAUAAUAGAAAUGUAACCGAUGGGAUUGAAAUUGGAUUGAGGGUCGUAAAUAUGAAGCUCAAGAAGAAUGAGAAGAGGGCAAGGUCAAUGAGUUGGAUGAAUUGGAACUGCCAUCAUCAGAGGAACUACGUUCUCAAUGUUCAUUCGAUGAGGAUGACAGUUAUCAGUUUCCUAAAUUCACUUUUGAUUAGGACAUGAAAAAUCCUCAAUUUGAGGUUAGGCAAGUAUUCAAUUCCGCAUUAGAGUUUCAAGAGGCGGUUCAAGCAUACGGUGGACUGAACGGGUACAACAUCAAAUUUAAGGCAAACGAGGAAAGAAGAGUGCAAGGAAUUUGUAAACUGGGCUGCAAAUGGCGAAUAUAGGCCUCUAGAAUGGAUGCAUCUGAGAGAUUGCAAGUAAAAUCUUCCACUUAGCAUACCUAUAGCUGGGAUCAAUAUAAUAGAUACAACAAUUACAUAUUCUUGAUGCAUCGAUAUAUUGAGCAAUUCAAGGCGGACUCGGACUGGAAGACCGAGCUAAUUUUGGUAACAGUGAAGAAGGAUCUCCGCACUGAUAUUAGCUGAAAUGUGGCAUGGAAUAUGCGAAGAUAUGCCAAAGAAGUUUUAGCACGAAAUUUGCAAGAGCAGUUUAGGCGGUCGUAGUCUUACGCAGCAAAGGUACUUCGUACAAAUGUUGGCUCGACAAUCAUUAUUGUAUUACGGGAGCAGAUAUUUUAGGGGAUCUACAUAUGCUUCAAUUGUUGUAGGAUAGGGUUUCGAGAUUGUUGUAUGAAGGUAAUAGGUGUUGACGGUUGUUAACUAAGGGGUUGUUUCGGAAGGAUAAUGUUUACUGCAGUUGGUCUUGAUGCUAAUCACUACAUCUAUCCAGUUGUUUAGAAUAAAAAUAUAGCAGCUUGGCAAUGGUUCUUGACUUAUCUUUCAAAGGAUAUUAGUAUUGGAGACGGAAGAGGUAGGACGCUUAUGACGGACAGACAAAAAGGGCUACAAAAUGUGGUAGACGAGUUUUUCCCAGAGGUCGAGUACAGGUUCUGUGUAAGACAUAUGUACACGAACUUCUUUAAUGCUUGGUUCAAGAGUAAAAUUCUUAAGAAUUACUUACGACGUGCUACCAAUCGACCACUGUUGCUGACAACCAACAUUGGAUGCAUCAAAUUUGUGAACUUAGUGAUGAGGCAUACAAAUGGUUUAUGGAUAGACGUCCACGAGAAUGGAGUAGAUCACAUUUCUUGGUUCACCAAGACUUUACGAAGUGAUAGACAAAAAAUUAGUUGUCAAUGUUAACUUCUCUAUAAUUAACGUUCAUGAAUAGGAUUCAAAAGCAUCAAGACAAUAUGGUGAGGUGUAUAGGAUGUUAGUGUCCAAAGAUCAUGAAAAAAUUGCUCAAGAUUGCUAAAAAAUCAUGUGAAUGCUCAUUUUACUUUUCUAGUUGAUCGAAAUGUCAUGUUGAAUGUAGCUCAAAGACAUAUGUAGUCAAUCUACAGGAAAGAACUUGUGCAUGUAGAGAAUGGGAGCUUACAAGCAUACCUUGCAUCCAUGCUGUAGCAGUAAUUCUAGAUUUUAGAAAUGAUCCAGAAGAUUUCGUUCACGCCUGCUACACGAUUGAGUCAUAUAUGAGAUGCUACAGUAGUAUCAUGCAUCCAAUCAACAGUAUGUGAUUAUGGCCACAGUUGGACAUGGUUGAUAUUACUUUGCCGUCACCGUGAAAGGGGAAGAGAUAAAUAAAUCUCAAAAAAGGAACUGAUGAAGAAGUGAUAGUGCAUUCGCAAGCAAAGACCUAUAUCCGGAGAAAGGGACGGCUGAAAAUGACAUGCUCAUUAUGCGGACAGCAAUGUCAUAACAAACGGUACCACUCUAGGUCGAAUGCACCGGAUUCUGAUUUGUUUGAAGGAAAUUUAGAACCGGUUGACACGCAUUUUAAUAGAGCGGUGGAUGAACGAGGUAAAAUGGUUCUAGAGUGAGCGUCGAAGGACUACAAUCCCGGGAGCGAACAAAAUUUCCAUUUCAUUCCAAUCCCAAUGGUGUCUAGUAAAGCGUGGACGAAUGGACUAAAAUUUGGUCCAGCAGAAACAAUUUACACUCCGUCAACUCCUAUUGAUGUUCCAACCGAUUAUGUGAACCUUGAUGAUGUCGUUGAUGACUUGGUUGACAUGGAAAAUGCGGAAUCUGCUAGUAUGAGAGUGUUGAGGGUAGAAAAACGACAAUGGACGAAGCAGAGUACAUUGGUAGGAUCGACUGUUUGACUCCGUGUUUGUGUUUCUUAACCAAAGCUGUGACCACAUAUUUUUACGGAAGUAGAGUACAUCAGCAAGACCAUAUGUUUGAUAAUGUGUUUUUGUUUUUUGGCGAAAGCUAUGACCACAUUUUUUUGGAUGAAAACAGAGUACAUCAGCAAAGUACAUUCAGCAUAGAAUUAAUUUUGUAGUUUAACGUAAAUAAUGGACAGAACAUUGGUUAGAAUGGGGACAACAAUUGAAUUA